ensembl:lncRNA
UCCCUCUAAAAGCUCUCUGUGUGGGGAACAGGAGAACCAGAGCAAAGCUCAGAGGUGAGACCAGCAUCUCUAACUGUCCAGGACUCUGGUGCAUGUCAGAGCUCAGUAUCACAUCACUGCUGCAUCAUUAUUCACAGGAAUCCACCUGGACCUGGACCUGGACAUGGACCUGGACCUGGACCUGCAUCCAGCUGUGUGUCCUUCAAGAGUGACUGGUCUAAUGAUCGCCUCAUUGAAUUCGAAGAUCAUCAACCUCCUGCUGCAGAGAAAAUCCAUCAGAGACCAGAGUCCUCUGGACCUGGACAUGGACCUGGACCUGGACCUGGACCUGCAUCCAGCUGUGUGUCCUUCAAGAGCGACUGGUCCAAGGAAGAUCCUCUUGACUUUAAAGGAGAACCAGGUCCUGCUGCAGAGGGAGUGGAGCAGCAGAACUCGGAGGUUCCCAGAGCUCAGUCUGUCCAGCAGCAUCACCUGGACUCCAUAUUCAUG